AGCAUGGUCUUAGCUUGCUAAGACUGAUGGCGACCGGCGCACGGGUGAGUAACGCGUAUGCAACCUGCCUGAUACCGGGGUAUAGCCCAUGGAAACGUGGAUUAACACCCCAUAGUACUUUUAUCCUGCAUGGGAUGUGAGUUAAAUGUUUAAGGUAUCGGAUGGGCAUGCGUCCUAUUAGUUAGUUGGCGGGGUAACAGCCCACCAAGACGAUGAUAGGUAGGGGUUCUGAGAGGAAGGUCCCCACAUUGGAACUGAGACACGGUCCAAACUCC
rnacentral:rRNA from 1 species